GCAAGAGGCUCAGCUGGGUAGGGACGUUGGGGUCGCGGCCCUCGGGAUGGGGGGUGGUGCAUUCGGGAUGUCAGUAACCUGCGCAGUUUGGGCUCCGCCCCAAACAGGGGGCGUCUUCCAGUGUCCCCAGACUUUGAAGAGAGUGGGGAAGGGGCCUUCAGGGGGUCCCUGCAGGAAGGGAGCGCAGAGGCAGCGGCCGGCCCAGCGAGCAUCAUCACUUCCGUUUGUCCAUGGCCCAGGCCUUCUCUGAAGCUGUAUUCUUCUCUGGCUCUGCUGACACCUUUCCUAGCAAGGAAGUGGUAUAAAAUGCUUGCUGAUGGCCACCUGCCCCAGGACUCCCCACUCACCAUUGUUGUUGAGCUCUUGGGGUUUCCAAGAUACCUGUGGCUCUCAGGCCCUCCCUUCUGUCCCUGCCCCCUGCAGAGAAUGAUCUGGAAGGAUUCUCUGUUUUGGAAUCUCCAUCUCUGAGAGCUGUUCUCCUUUCAUUUCUGUUGCUCUGAUGAAACAACCUACGGAAAAAAACAGCUUAAUAGAGAAGGGAUUAUUUUAGCUCUACCCCUUGAGGUUACUAUCUGUGACUGUGGGGUUGUCGUAGGAGGGCACAGCUAAUCACAUCACAUCCAUGGUCAGUCAAGAGCAGAGAUCCAGGGAUGCAUGUAGUUUACUUGAUUACCCUGCUAGAUUUCUCCACUCUUAUGUAGUUCAGGGAAUGGUGCCACCCAUGGUGGGCAAAGUCUUUCCACAUCAAUUGCCUUAAGACAAUCCCACAGAGAUGCUGGACAGCUAAAUGUAAGUAACCCCUCACAGAGAUUAUUUUUCCAAGUGAGUCUAGCUUGUGUCAAGUUGACAGUUAAAGCUAGCCAUCCUAAAAGCCACGGGGUCCUAGAAAACAGGGAAAGGUCCUCAGAAAACGCAGUUAUCCCCAGCUCUUCUCCCAGAGCUGGAUAUCUUGUACCUGCAUCCCUCCCUAAGAUGCUGAAGACACUCUUAGUCUACAAGUUCAACACCGUGAACCUCCCCCUCCCACCAACGAGGCUCAAGAGAACCAGAGAAGUAGAGAGACAUAUAGGUAGCGUCAAAAUGAGGAAAGAGGGCUGUCAUCGUUUUUACCAGCUUGACACAUAACUGGGUGGGGAACUCAGUAGAGGAACUGCCUCCAUUAGAUUGAUCCAUGGGCGCAUCUGUGGAGUAUUUUCUUAAUUGCCAAUGGAUGUAGGAGGGUCUAGCCCACUGUGGAUGGUGCCAUCUUUGCAUAGAUAGGCCUGAACAGUGUAAGAAAAGCAAUCUGUGGAAGCUAAGCCCGAAUGCCAGAAAACAGUGUUCCUCCAUGAUCCGUGUUUCUGCCUCCAGGUUCCUGCGUUGGUUUCCCUGGAUGAUGGGCUGUAACCUCUAACCCAGUAAAG